rnacentral:lncRNA from 1 species
CAUUAUAUCGUAAUUUAUAUUUUGAAAUUCAUAUAUAUAUCGUAACAAGAAAGGCAAGUAUACAACAACUACACAAGUUGCCAAGUGUUCUAUCAGAUUUUGGGGAAGACAAACAUCAUUGUACAUUCAUAGUGUUAUAAAAAAAAAUUUAAAAAGUUUUAAUUAUAGAAUAAAGAAAAGUGAAAAGAGAAAGAGAAAAAAAAA